ensembl:lncRNA
GCAGUGGGGCCGAUUGCUUGGGGCCCCGUCGGUCUCCCUCCAUCCGCCUCAUCUCGGUCCCGGCCUCGAGCUGUGCGCAGCCGGUGGGGCUGGGGCGGUCGUGAGUGCAGAACAGAGCGGUUGAGUCCACCCUGCCAACAACCCCGCGCCUCUGCUGCGUUGGGAUGUGUGUUUAGGGGACAGGCGAGAUGGAGAUUGAGGCCGUUUUCUGGCCGUAUACAGUUCCAGCACAUCCAGUGGGUAGUGCAGUGUUCCUUUGUAGCCCUGAUACAUCCCCACCUGCAGCUCUUUGCUAGCUUGUGAAGUGUCUUUGCAUAGCUCCUGCAGUCUAUGGCCAGCAGUGCUUGCCUGUUAGCUAUGGAAGGCACGUAGUUAAUUGAGUUCUAUGCACCCUUCCAUGUCCCUUCAUCUUAUUAUUAUCUAUACACAGCUUGACAAUUGACAUUUCUCAUACCAGUCCCUAUAACUACCUCCUAUUUGCCUCACAAACCCUACAACUACUCCAUUACAGCUGUCCCUAGAGACUGAAAUUGUCCUUAAAUACUGAACAGAAGUAUUUUCAACCCAUGAAUAGCUGUACUAUGAUUUCUGAGGCCCAGUGUAACCAUCAUAGCUCUAACAAUUGCCUACAAAGAAUUACUGGGAAAUCUGAAAAUAUGUAAAAAUCAAACCUGAAUCAACAGAGCAUUAUGUCUACAACAGAACAAUCUUGAAUAGUAGAAUGGUGCAGUUUUACAGAUGGAACUGGAUCUUUUUAUGGGGAAACUAGUCUGAAAUGCUAUAGCAGUAAUGACACCGUUUGGCUAUUCAACCUUUGAAUCUCUGGGUGAUUGAAGUGCUUACCUUCACUUAUCUAUGACAGUAGCCUUGUCAGUCAGAAACACUGAGAUACAACCAUAAAAAGUCUAAUAAAAAUAGAUAGUGUCAUCUUAUAUAGUUCAUUUGAAGGCAAACUGUAUUUCAGUAGACAUCUCUCACCCUAUCUAUUCAGCAAAUAAAAGUUGUUUUAUUUAGGUGGUAAUGCACUGAAAGCUUGGAGGAUUUGUGCUUUCAUUGACUUCUCAAUUUCUUGUGAGCAACAUGAAGGACUGAGGGGACAAUGAGUAAUUUCAGAAAAGAAAAAAAAAAAAAAACAUUGCUGGAAGGAUGUGACUAAUUCCAUGGUAAUGCUUUACCAACUUUCAUCCUAUCCAUGCUGGUAAAGAAAGUUUUUGUUUCGAGGAUUUUAAUACUUGAUAUUGUAUUAUCCUUUCUCUUAUGUCAGGUUGUUGCUUGCAUGCAUAUUUGCUUUGCUAGGUGAACAGGGUGACCUGUCAGUAAGUUGAAGGAUAAAAUCUCUUGGCUGUUGGUUUGUGUUCUUAAAUCAUGGAACUUUGAACUUUUUGAUUGAAAAAUCAUAUCAAACCUAGUCAGGCCUUGGCAUAAGUGUAAUAUAUAUAUAUAUAUACACAUUUGUUGCUACCCUUGAGUUAAUGUGUUUGCAGAAUUUUUAAAUCUAUAUUAACAUCUCAGUCUCUAAAUACAUCAUCACUCGCUAUGUCAGGAGGGUCAUAGCUUCUUUUGUUACUGGGAAAUUGUUGAAUCACUUCAAUGUUUUGACCCUUUCAUCUAUGAAGUUUGUUUGCAGAGCUGUCUGCAUUACUCAAUUGGGGCCUAACAGAGACUGAAGUUCUGCUUCAAAACAUUGCAAAUACAUAUAUGUAGAUUUUUCUCAAAUUUCAGAAUUUGAAUUUUUGGUCUUUAUCAAAGUACACAUCUCAUCUUAAUAUUUGAAGAAAUGUCAUUUUUCCUUAGCAACAGUUACAUAUUUCUAGAUAAUCAGUAGAAACACUAAAUCACUUCAUUUGGCUACUGUAACUAAUGAUAGUAUUAAACAACCUUUCAAAUUAAAAUAUGAAAAAAUCUUUUCAUUAGAACUAGUGCUAAAAAACUUUGUAAUUUUUAUUUAGAUGCAAGAUACACUGUAUUUCUCAAAAUAAUUUUAUGGCUUUGCACACAGACAAGUGAAAAUCAAAAUAAUUAACAUUUUUCAACAGUGAAUUAAAAUAAAAUUAGACAGACAUCACCUGUACUUUGAAAAAUCUCACUUUUUGCUUUCAGACUGAAAACUUCAACAAUUCUACAAAUAAUUGUUUCUAUAUGAAGGAAUUUAUAGUGAAAUCUCUUAGGUAGAGAAAAAUAACAGAGAAGAUGCUACUCCUGUCAUUUUUUUUUUCUGAUUAUAGCUUUUAAUGACAUCACUUUGGGAUCUUCAGCAGAAUUACAUUCCUAUCCCUCCCUUCUUCUCAGAGAAGAAUUCACUGAGAGCAGCCUUGGGAAAAAGGACUUGGAUGUCUUAGUGAAUGAAAAGCUUGGUGUGAACCAGCAGUGUGUUCUCGCAGCCCAUACCAACAGCAUCCUGGGCUAGCCAUUCCUCAUAGUACCUGUGGUGGUUUUAAACUAAAAAAGCAGAGAUUUAGAUUAGCUAAUAGGAGAGAAGUUUUCACUCAGAGGAUGAUGAGGCAUUGGCACAGGCUGCCCAGAGAAGCUGUUGUUGCCCCAUCCCUGGAGAUGCUCAGGGCCAAGUUGGAUGGGGCCAUGAGCAGCCUGAUCUAGUGAGUGGCAACCUUGUCUAGGGCAGGGGUUUGGAACUAGAUGGCCUUUAAUGUUCCUUCCAACCCAAGCCAUUCUGAUUCUGUGAUUCAGGGCUUUUCUGAAAUAAAGAAUACUACAGAGCUUGGCCAUUUCUAACAAGGUCAUAAUUAAUCCAUCUGGUAUUUCAUACAACAAAGUCAAUUCUUUUUUUGUUAAAUCUGCUUCAUAUUUUUUUACAUUUCUAAAUAGUUUUCAGAUAUAUUUUGUCAUUUGUGGCAUAUCUAAGAAGUACCACAACACAUUCCUCUCAGCCGUACUGUGCAGAACAAUUAUCCAUGUAUCUUAUGAAAUAGCAUAAAGGCAAGGCAAAAUACUAAAGUAGGUAAGAGCAUUUGAACUGUUUCAGACCAAGGAUACAUCUUCCCAGUUCAUAGAAGUGCAUGCCUAAAGAAGUGCAAGAACAAGCACAUACAUGUAUUUCACUAGGUAUCUUUGCCACUCUGUGUCUCGGGGAUUUUCUAAAACCUUCAUAAUCUGUCAUUAUUGUAAUAUUCAGAGAAUUUCUUCCAAGAAUUUGUCAAGUCUCCCAUAAAACUCGUGCACUGACACCAUGUUUUAUCAAGAAGAGCUAUGCUGUAAGAAUAAAUGCUGUAUAGUAAAUGCUGUAUGAAAAAUAAAAGCCAUUUUGCAUUCUUUGAAGUCUAGUUGUUGUCUUCUGUCUUUUUUUGUUCUAGUGAAUACUCAACAUGGGGAGAAGGUGAAGAGGAUAUGUCUAGAUGUUAUAAAGAAUUAGGCAGCUUAGUACAGAAGUAUAGGCUAUGCUGUGUGGCUGCUUGUCAUGUUUCUUUGAUUACCCGUGUAGGUGAGGAAUGGGGACUUCUUUGUCGCUUGGGGAUCGACUGCCAGUGCAGCCUGCAUGUUUGACCCUGAGGGUGAAAGCUGUUGGCCACGCUGCCUCUCUGGCCAGAAGAAUCAGUGGGUAUAUCCACGCUGUGGUUUCUCAGCAAUUUGGACACUUCUGCGAUACUGCUCUGGAAGUCCUGGGUUCUGACAAAGAUGAGUUUGUGUCUUUUCCACUGUACCCUAGCUUCCUGUCCUCUCAUCAGCAAUUGGUGAGACCACCAGUAGCUGACUGUCAGUUUGAUAUCUUGCUAAUACUCUCUCCACACAGUUUUACAACAAAUGUGCUUUCCAGGGAUCCCUCUUUUUUUUUUCCCAUAAGGCACCCUGUUGACAAUUCUGAGUCAGAAGACAUUGACAGUACUAUCAUUUUCAGGGAUAAGGAAGGUACAAGAUGGCAAGAACUGGAGGCUCACAGUGAAAAGCAAACAUAAAACUGAUGACAGCUGGCUUUAUGUGCAUGAGAAGCACUCUGAAAAGUGUCAUACACUCUACAUUUUUAGAUCUUUCGGCUGGUACCUCUGUACUUGCUACACACUAGUGGGAGGAUUUAACAGAGGUGUAGCCCUCCAGCUGUGUUUAGGCCCUAGUAUCUGUAUUAACAAUGUAAUAUGCACAUGCUUCCAGUUUUCUUGUAUUGGAAAGGUGCAUUGAAAAGGGAAGUGAAAUUUCCGUGCACCAAAACUGCACUGUGAAAAGAAUAAAAGCACAACAAGUGGGGAUAAUAAGAGAUUUGCCUUGGCCGUGCACUGCUGGUAUGAGAGAAAAUGCUAUAGCAGUCAUACCCUUAGUUUGGAAACCUGACACAUUAAUCAGUUUUUAAUGUGUGUUACAGUUUGGUUACAUUAAGUUCCUUAUGGACCAGUAUCAAGCACAGCAGUAUCAAUAAUGAUUUUUAUAAUGACAUUAAUAUAAAUCCCCACUGCAGUUUUUUGCAUCUCUUGAGUAAUAACAGUCCAGUAAACAAGGCAGUCAUCAUUCUUCACUAUAUGGUAUAACAAAUGUGAAAACACUGUGUAGGUGUAUGUUAGACUACAUUAUAUUGUAAACAAACAAAUGCAGAUUAUUUUUUGGUUGCAAGGUGAAAUUUGAGAUUAUGCUAGCCACUGAGAAUCCACUUUUCUAUGUAAAAAUGUGGCAGUGCCAGAGCCUCCUGAUUCUAAGCAGUUUUGUACAGAUAUCAGAGAAGGCAUCCAGCUGUCUGGGUUCACGUCAGGCUUUAAAAUUUUUCCCUUAUGAGCUAAAAGGCAGAAGAGUGAGGGUUGGAUGGAAUUAUCCCCUUGUUCUGUUCUGAUUAAUUCAAUCCACUGCAGAAAGUGACGAAGGAUAAAGUAAUUAAUUGUUCACCUGGAGCUGGUUAGGAAUCGUUACUUUCUUGCACUCUGGUGUCCUGUGGGAUCAGUGUAUGUACUUAUCUUUACCACACUGUGGCUGGACUUCGUAACUACUGUGAUGACCGAAUGAGCAUUGCCCUUUCUAUGAAAACAGCAACAACAAAACCAGUUAGCUGAAGUAGAAAAUAAAUGUCAUUUUGGGAAUGCAACUCACAGCAGUCUUUGUGAAAACUCUAUUACCAUGUUCACUGUGAACACAUAAUUUUUUUACAUUUUUGGGGGACUGUCCACUCUGAAGAACAUAUGCCUAGUAGAUCUUCAUUUGUAUUCAACAUGUGGUUAUAAAUCAAAUCACCCACUUGUUUACAAAGAUUCAUAUUUUUUUGUUGAAGCCAAAUGGGAAUACUUCUUUGCUACACUGGACUAGAGUAGACCAGUAUAGGGUCUCUUGGUCUAGCCUUUGCAAACAGCAGCCUGUGUUUGUGUUUUAAUGCUUUUAAUAUAGAUUCAAAUGCUAUCAAACAGAUAGUUUUAUGAAACAAAGCAAAACAAAAAAAACUGUGCAGUGGGAGAUAUAGUAUAUGAUCAAGGGCAGUGUGGCCUGCCUUUUACAUAAGUAUGUUCAGUUUUGCAUGGCACUCUUUUCCCCCAUUGCAGUGAGCCUAGAGAAAAACGUAUAUUCAGCCUCUCGUGUAUUUUCAUUCCUUUCUUAAUUUGUUUGCUCAGAUCUGAAAAACUCAAAACCUCUUACAUACUAAAUCUCAGAAACUGUUGCAAUUCUGUGUACUUUUGCAUUUUGGUAGUAUCUUAACAUGAGAGGUGUAUCAAAAGACUCAGGAGUGUAUGGCCCCUUCUGUGUAGGCAGAAUCUUAUUUACUGGACAUUCUGUGAAGGUCUUGAGUUCAUUUUCACUGUCAUGUGACACCUCUGAUCAGCUAGAGGCACCACUGUUUUAACAACCACAAGCAUGAAGUCUUUCUGUGCCAACAAUAUCUAAUGAGCUUUCACAGCAAAAGACCCCUAACAGUGUGGGAGCAUCUGAGCCAUCUCAGGUGUGCAGAGAACCCUCACCAGGCUGCUAGCAACAGUACCAUUGGUAGGACCAGCCAAGAGCAUGGGGUGACAACGUAGCGGGCCCUGGACACACUUGGGUUAGUUAAGGCAAAGGUCAGAACUCAAGGAGAAAAGUGAAUGAACAAGAAAUGUGGCUUAGGCAGCCAUUAGAAUGAAGAGUCAAUAAGACAUUUUGGAGUUGUUCUUUGGGGUCAUCUUUUUUUAUUUUUGUUUUUGCUUGCUUACCCCAAACACUGAGUUUGCUCAAAGCAUGUGAUGCAUAAAAUGCAAGACUACCCCUACUGCAAGGGCUCCUCUAUCAAAGUAUCAUUGUGGGGUUUUUUUUACAAGUUUAUACAAUUUUACUGUGUUACAAUCUGUUAAACACCCUUCCAUAUUUGCACACUUGCACAUUUUAAUAAAAAAUGUUUUCCUCUCAUGUUUUCCUGGAAUUUAAUGCAACACUUGAUGAAGAGUAUAAAGUAGAGGUUUUUUUCAAAAAUUGAGAGAUGUAAAAAAUUUAAAUGUUACUAGUUUCUGGUGGUCACUUUUUUUUUCCUUUCUAAUGAGAGUCAUCAAAAAGAUGCCUCUGAAAUAUAAAAGUUAACUUUGGACAUUUGAGUCUUGAAGAUUUUAUGGAAAGAGUAAAGAAAAAGAAUUUAUUUUUAAAAAGAUAACUUAAAGUCCUUUCAAUUCAUUAUGCUUGGGAAUUACUUGAAAUAACUAAAUUACUCAAAUAAGGAAAUAAUGUGCUUAGAAUUAAGUUUAAACAUUUGGUUACUCAUACAAGAAUUUUUUUGAGAUGAAAAUAUACAAUAUUAAUUGUAGUCUUAUUAGAAUGUAAUUUUAUUCUUCACUUAGAAGAAAUAACUGAAAAAAAAACUCUUUUGAACUAAUGAUUGAUGAAAAUGGUUGAAAUAAUGUUGCAGAUUAUGAACUAGUGAUUGAUGCUCAUGUUAAUAUGAUUAUGAAUAAGCUAUGUACUGUUGGUAAGAGAUUUUUUACAGUAUUAGUCACGUUUCUGUUUUCUGAAGAAGUGCAGGAUGCCUGCACUUACCAAUUCAUUAUAUCAAGCACAGACAAAUGAAAAAAUAAAUCAUAACCCUAAGUGUGAUAAUUUAGUAGAUAAUUCCCAUAAAACUUUUAUAUUACUAUAUUCAUUGAGCUGUUGUUUUCUAAACAUAAACAUAAAUUUCAGAUCCUGUUCAUUCUUGCUGAGCAUUAACUGCUAUAUGCCAGCUGAGGUAUUUUCUUAAUCUGUUGUGAAUCUUAGAAAUCCUAUUGCACUUCAGAACUUGGUCUGUGUUUCAGAAGGUAUUAAAAGCAAUAUAUGUAUAAACUGCAGUCUUACUUUUCAACACUUCUAAGAAAACCAUGAGUUGAAUUUCUGAAUUUUGUUCAAGGUUUUAGAUGAACACAUUUUAAAAUUAUCAUGGUUAAAUGCAUGUGUCAUGAAUUAGAAUUAUUUUAAGUAACUGUAGCAUGUUUUGUCUUUUAUUUUUGGCAAGAUAUAGAGGGAACUGUAAAAUCUAGAUUGUGCAUAUUGCUCAUUGCCAGCUUCAGUGUCUCUUCAAAUACAACAUUAUCAUCCAAAGGAGAAUAAAUACUGUUUUUGAAAAUAAGAGAACAGAACCAUCAAGUGCAAAGAUUUUAUCCAGAAUCACACACUGGGCCAUUAGAAGAACAAGAAAUUUGCAUCCUCGUGUUCAGAACUAUGAUUGGAAUAUCUGACUUCUGUGUCUUGGAUGCUGCUGCUGCAUCUAGCGGUUGAGUUGUACAGCAAAGGAAGGCUUUAUGGCAGUGUGCAAAGAUUAGGCAUGGGAUGUCCCAGUAUCCUCAGCCACACAUUUUGUAUGUAAAGACUGCCACACAGAAUCCUUCUAUUAUGCCAUAUAAAAUGCCAGAUCAUGACCAAAAGAGAGGUAGACAAAGCAAAAUCAGUAAAGGAGAGAUUUAUUGGAAUGACCGAAACAGUGAAGAAAUGCAGAGAGAGGUAGGAGAAGUCUCAGUACAGCCAACAAAAGCUCAGUGUGUCUGAUUUAGGUAAAUGAUGGGGUUCCACGUGAGUCUUUCCAUUUUUCAUAGCAUGGGAGUGUGGCAGAGGCCUGGGAGGCCAGGGAGGAGGAGGGCUCAUGAAGCUGUAAUUUGCAAUCUGUGUGAUAAGUCUGCACUGAUCCUGACUUCACAGAACCAGCUGAGAAGCUUCUAGGGGUCAACUAAAUGCAGUCUUUCAGCCUACUCCUGGUGUUUCCCCUGCAACAUGAUCUUCUUCCAAUUACUCCUCUGUUACAUUUUAAUAUUAUGUUUAUCAUAACAGAAAACUGUUUGGCCACAGAUGUGAAAUCAGUAAUAAAACAAUUAGCAGAGGCAUGCUUUCAUUUCCUUUACAGUAUUAAAGUGAAUGGUAGUCCCAUAUUUAAGGGUAAAGGCCAUGAUUUGAUAUUAAAAUGAAAAGAGGCAAAGUAGUUAAAUUAAGCACCAGCAGUCACCAGGGAGCCUGACCUCUGCAGUGUUAGAUGGAGAUUUGUGAGCUAACUGGCAUUAUACUCGGUGGGCUCACGUCGCAGAAGAGCAUCACAACAAAACUGUAAUCAAUCCUACUAAGACUCAGAUAUGUGUAUUUUAAAGCACUAGUGUAAUUCAGCACAGUAUUAGUAUUAUUGUGUUUCAAGUGAAAAUAAAAUCACAGCUGCAGAACUAAGCCUUCAGAUCUUUUUGAUUGUACAAAUGAUUUUUUUUUUUUUAUGAAAAUUGGAAAAAUCCUUACUUAAGACUGAUCUAAAAAAUAUUUGGCUUUCCUUCCACGUUUAAAUAAAGGAAUUUAUCUUUAAACCUUUUCUAAUGCUGUUUUUUGGCCUGAAAGCACUUUUGACUUCCCUCAGGAUUGUUUGUUUAUUUGUAGCAAAGCAAGACCUAUCCCUCCCAUGUAAAAACAUAGCAUUACAUUGUAUUUUAAUUGCAGUCAGAGAAUACAUCUAGUAAGAUUACUUUCAUUUCUAGAUGUCUGUAAUUGAUUCUAGAAUUAUGCUUAAAGAAUUUAUAAUGUUCUUCAACUCUGAAUGUAUAGUAUCACCUUAUCAGAAAUGUUCAUAGCACACUGCUAACUAUUACCCAGCCUUACACAACCAUUCACAAACAGGCUAAAUAUGGAAAAGAGCUUCCGUUGUGAAGCGUGAUAUAAGCAGGUAACAGUAUGGUAAUAAAUUAAGCUUCUAUAUGAAUGCAGUUAACCUUGUCAAUUAAAAUUGAAACUUAGGGAACCAUCACCCUCUGCUCAUUAUGCUCAUUCUAGCUGCUACAAAAUAUCUGUUACCAACAAAGCAGGUUGGUCUUGUGUGGAGCCAGAUGUUGGACUCCAUAAUCCUUGUGGGUUUCUUCCAAUCUGGGAUAUUCUGUAUUUCUAUGGUUAGAUUUAUCCAAAUUUUUCAGGUAUGACUGUGUACUAAUUUUGAUCUGCUAGUAUUUGAAAAAAUACUACUAAAAUACUAUUAAAAUACUCUGAAAAAAGGAAAGUGAAUAAAACAGAGUUUUAAGAGAAUACUGCCCUAGUUUCAGAUAUUUAUCAUUAUCAUUCUGAAUAAUUUAAUGUACAAAUUUUAAAUUGACUUUUUUCAAGACAGCAGUUCUACAAAGGACACUUAGCUAUUGAACAAUAAUGAAUAAAGAGCUCCACACAUUUCCUCAUCUGCUUUUGCAAUUGUUGAAAUAAAAACAACAAAAGAGAAAGAAAAUGUUAUUUUGUGUAGCACUGGGCCUUACAACAAAGGCUUUUGGAAUUAUUAAGUUUGAUUUCCUUAACCAAAAUCUUCCUCAUUGCUGAUCACAUUUUGCUAGAUCUCUCCUCUUGAGAUUGGUCCUAAAUAAUGGAGAAGAUACUUAACAGAUGCUUAAGUAGGGCCUGUGCCUUUGUAUUAUCAGUGUUACAGAACUGGCUGAGCCAUGUCCCCCAAAGUCACCUGCUGUCAGCUGGUGACUUGUGGUACCAGCUCCAGCAUCUCCCUGGCAGAAGAAGUGGAGAGACGUGCAGAAAAAGUUCUCUUUUUUGUCUUGACUUGCUGCCCACGUUUGGAUUAAUAGCUAUAAGAAUGUUACUGUAGGGUUCUUGAUUCAAAAGGAUACAUUUAACAAGUAGCUACACAACUUCUGAAAUAGAAGAGAAAUGCAUGCUGGCUGUGUAAACUAAAUAACCAUCUAAACAAACUGAAUGUGGUAAGUCAGUGGCCUCAUAGAGUGACUUUGAUGUGUCAUCUUGUCCUUCUGACACUUUCAGUAAUUACUAGUUGGAUUGAGGUUAAAUGUAGAACAGAAGUUUCUUGUCAAAAGUGAGCAACUCUUGGAGUGUACUCAAAAACAAAAGUAAAGGUAUGUCUCCUGGGCUGAAAGGAGCCAUCUGUGGUACAGCUACUAAUCUUUUGAUGUUUCAUGAAAUCUGUUUUGGCUGGAAACUCUGCUGAAAGAAGCUGGUGCCCCUAGUUCUGAAGGAUUCAUGAGAAGAGCCAAAACUUGUUAUGAUUAAAAGAGAUGGCAAAGAUGAUCAGAAACAGUGUUCAUUGGCUGUGACAGAGCUGUUGCUCUGUAGUGUUGUUUUUCCUUUUAAAGAGGAUAGCUUUAAGAAAAAUAAUAGCAAUGCUAUGUAGUUCUCAUUGCUUCUGAUCUCAGCUGGGCCAGGCUUUGGGUAAGUGAUGUUGUAUUGCCUGUAGGUCUUACUGUCAUGAACGGGCACCUCAUAAACCCUGUCCUGUGUGGAAUGGUGCAUGUAAGUGUUCAGCAAAACAAAUAGAAGGUGUCUUACCAUGUUUCCCAAACCUAAGCAGAUGAAUGACACUCUGAAGUUGGUAUGAUCAACCCUACACCUUUGCAGUCUUGAGCGAUGGACUAACUGCUCAGAGCUGCUUUCAAGCACCAUCUGUUGUCACAUGAUUCUGCAUGCCAGAUCCUCAUAAAAAGUCUUUCUUGGUUUUAGAAACUGAAGAGUGAAAAAGUUAUUAGAAGAUUUCAAACCAAGGGAACUGAAUAUGUAAUGAGCACAAUGAAUUAAAGAAGCAUUCUAUGCUCUCUGCUUUUCAUAGCCAUGGAUUGAACACUCCUCUGCAUUAAGAUAAGAAUUUUUCUCUUUGCAUGGAACAAUAAAGAAAUCUUCAGUGACUUUGACUUAUUGGCUUUUUAAAUUUGUAAUGUGUUGUGUUUUCCAGUCGUGCUUUCCAAUGGUUUCUGCACUUGCAAUCAUGUAAUGACUUAAAAGGCUUGGCU